AUAGAAAUUGUCUUUCAUUUUUAUUUACCUAUCCUGUUUUAGAUCAGUGGUCAGCCCUGUUUUCUGCUGGGAUAAACCUUGUGGAAGAUCUCUUCAUGCACAAAGUGACACAGGUAUAUCAUUCAUCUGGGUCUGUGGCCUAGAAAAGACAGACUCUGAGUUUUGUGCAGCUCCCUGUGAGUUAGUUAACUUCAUCUAUUUCUUUACAGUCAAUUUGAAACUCAUUAAGGUUACUAUACCACAAAAAUUGCUGCUCUAAGAAUAUGCCAAGUGCCUUCAGAAAAGAUGCAGAAAAUGAAGUACAACAAAAUCAAGCUCUUCGGCACAGGCUUCCAGGCACCAAGAGAUUUGGGACUAGCAUACAGAUCCACCACUCCACAAACUUACCUUUAUCACAGGUUUGGAUCUUCCUCUGAUAGUUCUACUUCAUUCUGUCAAAGAUCCAAUUC
rnacentral:lncRNA from 10 species